rnacentral:rRNA from 1 species
CCUACGGGUGGCAGCAGUGAGGAAUAUUGGUCAAUGGACGAGAGUCUGAACCAGCCAAGUCGCGUGAAGGAAGACUGCCCUAUGGGUUGUAAACUUCUUUUAUAUGGGAGCAAAAUGUUCCACGUGUGGCAUUUUGUGUGUACCCGAUGAAUAAGGAUCGGCUAACUCCGUGCCAGCAGCCGCGGUAAAACGGAGGGUCCGAGCGUUAUCCGGAUUUAUUGGGUUUAAAGGGAGCGUAGGUGGAUUGUUAAGUCAGGGGUGAAAGUUGGGGGCUCAACCGUCACAUUGCAGUUGAAACUGGCAGUCUUGAGUACAGGAGAGGUAGGCGGAAUUCGUGGUGUAGCGGUGAAAUGCUUAGAUAUCACGAAGAACUCCGAUUGCGAAGGCAGCUUACUGGACUGCAACUGACGCUGAGGCACGAAAGUGUGGGUAUCGAACAGGAUUAGAUACCCUAGUAGUC